rnacentral:rRNA from 1 species
AACGAACGCUGGCGGCAUGCCUAACACAUGCAAGUCGAACGAGACCUUCGGGUCUAGUGGCGCACGGGUGGGUAACGCGUGGGAACCUGCCCUUAGGUUGGGAAUAACUCCCGGAAAGGGGUGCUAAUACCGGAUAAUGUUUUCGGACAAAAGAUUUAUCGCCUUUGGAUGGGCCCGCGUUGGAUUAGCUAGUUGGUAGGGUAAAAGCCUACCAAGGCGACGAUCCAUAGCUGGUCUGAGAGGAUGAUCAGCCACACUGGGACUGAGACACGGCCCAGACUCCUACGGGAGGCAGCAGUGGGGAAUAUUGGACAAUGGGCGAAAGCCUGAUCCAGCAAUGCCGCGUGAGUGAUGAAGGCCUUAGGGUUGUAAAGCUCUUUUACCCGGGAUGAUAAUGACAGUACCGGGAGAAUAAGCUCCGGCUAACUCCGUG